AGUAAAAGUCGUAACAAGGUUUCUGUAGGUGAACCUGCAGAAGGAUCAUUAGAUUGUAUUUAGGGGGUUUUCAGAUUCUACAUCUGCUCCCGAACUUUCGAUCCACACACCCUUUACCACAUGUGCACAAAAAAUACACACACAACAUAGAAAAAAGUGAGGGGAGGUUCUAAAACCCUCCCAUUUUUUGUUGUUGUUGUUGAAUUCAUUCUUCACGCGGUUGUUAGAGUGUUUAAAACCCAAAUCCUCCAAAGCGGGGUGAAAGUUAAAUACAACUUUCGGCAAUGGAUCUCUUGGUUCUCCUAUCGAUGAAGAACGCAGCGAAUUGCGAUAAGUAAUGUGAAUUGCAGAAGUCAGUGAAUCAUCGAAUCUUUGAACGCAUCUUGCGCCCUUUGGUAUUCCUUAGGGCAUGCCUGUUUGAGUGUCACGAAUAUCUUUUGGACUCUAGUCUUUUUUUCGAAAGGAAAUUAGAUCUGGCUCCAGCUUUGAGCGUUGUUGCCUAGCACUUUUAUUUAUAUAUUCAGUGUUUUGGCUCGCUUUAAAUAUAUUAGCUGGGUUGGCUGGAAUCUGCAAACCUAUUGGUAUGAUAAGUAUUAUGCUGAAGGUUUUGGGGUUUUCCUUUUAUAAAUGCUGCCUGCUUCUAAUCCUAGGGGCGGUGUCGCCAAGCGUAAAUUGUAGAAAUUUUAUUAUUUCUGUUCUUUUUACUCAAAAGUGCGAUGCUGUUAUUUGCCCGCAUCUUAUUCUAAUCUGGCCUCAAAUCAGGUAGGACUACCCGCUGAACUUAAG
rnacentral:rRNA from 1 species